rnacentral:snRNA from 1 species
GUGUUCGCUUUGGCAGCUCAUAGGCUAAAAUUGGAAUGAUAGAUGCAAAAGAAAGAUUGGCUUGACCUCUGCACAAGGAUGAUAAGCAAAUUCUUGAAGUGUUCAUAUUCUGU